rnacentral:rRNA from 1 species
AUCAUAUGCUUGUCUCAAAGAUUAAGCCAUGCACGUCUAAGUACGAGCACUUGUACUGUGAAACUGCGAAUGGCUCAUUAAAUCAGUUAUCGUUUAUUUGAUCGUACCAUUACUACAUGGAUAACCGUAGUAAUUCUAGAGCUAAUACAUGCGAAAAGUCCCGACUUCUGGAAGGGAUGUAUUUAUUAGAUUAAAAACCAAUGCGGGUUCGCGCCCGGUCACUUGGUGAUUCAUAGUAACUAUUCGAAUCGCAUGGCCUUUGCGCCGGCGAUGAUGCAUUCAAAUUUCUGCCCUAUCAACUGUCGAUGGUAAGGUAGUGGCUUACCAUGGUUGCAACGGGUGACGGAGAAUCAGGGUUCGAUUCCGGAGAGGGAGCCUGAGAAACGGCUACCACAUCCAAGGAAGGCAGCAGGCGCGAAAAUUACCCAAUCCUGACGCAGGGAGGUAGUGACGAAAAAUAACAAUACAGGGCUCUUUGAGUCUUGUAAUUGGAAUGAGUACAAUUUAAACCUCUUAACGAGGAACAAUUGGAGGGCAAGUCUGGUGCCAGCAGCCGCGGUAAUUCCAGCUCCAAUAGCGUAUACUAACGUUGUUGCAGUUAAAAAGCUCGUAGUUGGAUUUCGGGAGGGUGCGGUCGGUCAGCCGCAAGGUAUGUCACUGGCCUUCUUCGCAAAGACCGUCCGUGCUCUUAGCUGAGUGCGGUCGGGAUUCGCGACGUUUACUUUGAA